UGUGGGAGCGGGCUUGCCCGCGAUAGCAAUCUGUCUGGCACAUCAAUGUUGAAUGUGCCGCCGUCAUCGCGGGCAAGCCCGCUCCCACA
rnacentral:misc_RNA from 1 species